rnacentral:rRNA from 1 species
UACGUAGGGUGCAAGCGUUGUCCGGAAUUAUUGGGCGUAAAGAGCUCGUAGGCGGUCUGUCGCGUCUGCUGUGAAAACUCAGGGCUUAACCCUGAGCUUGCAGUGGGUACGGGCAGACUAGAGUGCGGUAGGGGAGACUGGAAUUCCUGGUGUAGCGGUGAAAUGCGCAGAUAUCAGGAGGAACACCGGUGGGCGAAGGCGGGUCUCUGGGCCGUAACUGACGCUGGAGGAGCGGAAAGCAUGGGGAGCGAACAGG